rnacentral:rRNA from 1 species
CUAUCAUGCAAGUCGAACGCACUCUCGUUUAGAUUGAAGGAGCUUGCUCCUGAUUGAUAAACAUUUGAGUGAGUGGCGGACGGGUGAGUAACACGUGGGUAACCUGCCCUAAAGUGGGGGAUAACAUUUGGAAACAGAUGCUAAUACCGCAUAAAACCUAACACCGCAUGGUGUAGGGUUGAAAGAUGGUUUCGGCUAUCACUUUAGGAUGGACCCGCGGUGCAUUAGUUAGUUGGUGAGGUAAAGGCUCACCAAGACCGUGAUGCAUAGCCGACCUGAGAGGGUAAUCGGCCACACUGGGACUGAGACACGGCCCAGACUCCUACGGGAGGCAGCAGUAGGGAAUCUUCCACAAUGGACGAAAGUCUGAUGGAGCAACGCCGCGUGAGUGAAGAAGGUUUUCGGAUCGUAAAACUCUGUUGUUGGAGAAGAAUGUAUCUGAUAGUAACUGAUCAGGUAGUGACGGUAUCCAACCAGAAAGCCACGGCUAACUACGUGCCAGCAGCCGCGGUAAUACGUAGGUGGCAAGCGUUGUCCGGAUUUAUUGGGCGUAAAGCGAGCGCAGGCGGUUUCUUAAGUCUGAUGUGAAAGCCUUCGGCUCAACCGAAGAAGUGCAUCGGAAACUGGGAAACUUGAGUGCAGAAGAGGACAGUGGAACUCCAUGUGUAGCGGUGAAAUGCGUAGAUAUAUGGAAGAACACCAGUGGCGAAGGCGGCUGUCUGGUCUGUAACUGACGCUGAGGCUCGAAAGCAUGGGUAGCAAACAGGAUUAGAUACCCUGGUAGUCCAUGCCGUAAACGAUGAGUGCUAGGUGUUGGAGGGUUUCCGCCCUUCAGUGCCGCAGCUAACGCAUUAAGCACUCCGCCUGGGGAGUACGACCGCAAGGUUGAAACUCAAAGGAAUUGACGGGGGCCCGCACAAGCGGUGGAGCAUGUGGUUUAAUUCGAAGCAACGCGAAGAACCUUACCAGGUCUUGACAUCCUUUGACCACUCUAGAGAUAGAGCUUUCCCUUCGGGGACAAAGUGACAGGUGGUGCAUGGUUGUCGUCACCUCCGGUCGGGAGAUGUUGGGUUAAGUCCCGCAACGAGCCCAACCCUUAUUACUAGUUGCCAGCAUUUAGUUGGGCCCCCUAGGAGGAACGGCCGGGAAAAACCCGAGAAAGGGGGGGGAAAA